rnacentral:rRNA from 1 species
UUUCGCAAUGCCCGAAAGGGUGACGAAGCGACGCCGCGUGAGCGAAGAAGGCCCUAGGGUUGUAAAGCUCUGUCAGGGGUUAUGAAAUGUAGAUUGGUUAAUACCCAGUUUAUUUGACAAAGGCCCCAAAGGAAGCCACGGCUAACUCUGUGCCAGCAGCCGCGGUAAUACAGAGGUGGCAAGCGUUGUUCGGUAUUAUUGGGCGUAAAGAGCACGUAGGUGGUUUUGUAAGUCAGAUGUGAAAGCCUUCUGUUUAAAGGAAGAAUAGCAUCUGAAACUGCAAAUCUUGAGUGUAGGAGGGGAGAGUGGAACUUCUGGUGGAGCGGUGAAAUGCGUAGAUAUCAGAAGGAACGUCGGCGGCGAAAGCGACUCUCUGGCCUAUUACUGACACUGAGUGUGCGAAAGUUAGGGGAGCAAACGGGAUUAGAUACCCCGGUAGUCCUAACCGUAAACGAUGGGCACUAAGUAGAGGGGUUUUA